rnacentral:tRNA from 1 species
UCCCUGGCAGUCCAGUGGUUAGGACACUGCACUUCAGCUGCAGGGGGCAUGGGUUUGAUUCCUGGUUGAGGAA